GACAGGCGAAAUAUAACAGCUCGAAGAGCUGUAUUGUAAUACAUUUCGCCGCACAGCCGCCGAACGAAGUGAGGGGCAAUACCGCUG
rnacentral:sRNA from 1 species